rnacentral:rRNA from 1 species
AACGAACGCUGGCGGCAUGCCUAACACAUGCAAGUCGAACGAGACCUUCGGGUCUAGUGGCGCACGGGUGCGUAACGCGUGGGAACCUGCCUUUAGGUUCGGAAUAACUCAGAGAAAUUUGAGCUAAUACCGGAUAAUGUCUUCGGACCAAAGAUUUAUCGCCUUUAGAUGGGCCCGCGUAAGAUUAGCUAGUUGGUGGGGUAAAGGCCUACCAAGGCGACGAUCUUUAGCUGGUCUGAGAGGAUGAUCAGCCACACUGGGACUGAGACACGGCCCAGACUCCUACGGGAGGCAGCAGUGGGGAAUAUUGGACAAUGGGCGAAAGCCUGAUCCAGCAAUGCCGCGUGAGUGAUGAAGGCCUUAGGGUCGUAAAGCCCUGUCGCAGGGGAAGAAUAAGCAUCGGUAUAAUACGCCGGUGCCCUGACGGUACCCUGCAAGAAGCACCGGCUAACUCCGUGCCAGCAGCCGCGGUAAU